rnacentral:rRNA from 1 species
CUAGCGACUUCAGAGUUUGAUCCUGGCUCAGGAUGAACGCUAGCGAUAGGCUUAACACAUGCAAGUCGAGGGGCAGCAUGAACAAAGCUUGCUUUGUUUGAUGGCGACCGGCGCACGGGUGCGUAACACGUAUGCAACUUACCCAUAAAACAGGGAUAACCCGGAGAAAUUCGGACUAAUACUUGAUGGUAUUGAGAGAAGGCAUCUUCACUUAAUUAAAGAUUUAUCGAUUAUGGAUAGGCAUGCGCAUGAUUAGCUAGUUGGUGAGGUAACGGCUCACCAAGGCGACGAUCAUUAGGGGUUCUGAGAGGAAGGUCCCCCACACUGGUACUGAGACACGGACCAG